ensembl:lncRNA
AGCUAGGGGGUGGAAGAUAGGAGAGGAGAGGCAUAGACUUUGCUAUAACUGACUUUUGUUGUUCUUGCUUGCAUUCUUCUCCUUUUUAAAUCGGCCCCCUUUUCACAUUGUGUGUCGCCAUAAACGGCUUUUCUUGUUGCAGGGCUAGCGGAGAGAAGACAGCGGAGCUCCACACACACAGACAGCGGGGCUGCGCGGGGCUGCACGCCGACCAAAACACACCGGCUGCCGGGAUCGAAACCGCGCGGACUACCGUAUAGGGGGAGCCGGAAUAGACGGAAGGGGGGAGAUGCAGGACGGAUGGUGUCUGGAGCUCUGCUCCGGACAGACCGAGGCUCCCUCAUCGGAGGGUGAAGCCAGAGGAUACGAAGGGAGAUUGAAGCGAAAUGGCAUCUUGUUUAAUUUCUGCCAAUCAAGACGAGAGGAAGACAACUCCCAAACUGGCAUGCCUCCGGAUGGCCCCGGCAAGACAAAGUUUGUUGCCAGUUUCCUAAAAAGUGGGGGGAAGAUUAUUCCACCAAAAUACAUCCCCAGUGACGUACCGAGAGGGUGAAGACACGAUCAAGAGACCCGGACAAUGCAUGAACCGGAUGGGAACUGGUACACGUCCUCAAGUCCUCAGGAAGGAUUUCACUCCCCUCAUAACCCUCCUGCUGGGAUAAAUGUGGUGUCCUCGGAUGGGGUGACAGGACAGAUGCUCUGGC